rnacentral:rRNA from 1 species
UACGUAGGGUCCGAGCGUUAUCCGGAAUCAUUGGGCGUAAAGAGCUCGUAGGCGGUUCAGCAAGUCGUCUGUGAAAGCCCGGGGCUCAACCCCGGAACUGCUUUCGAAACUGCUGAGCUAGAGUGCGGAAGGGGCAACCGGAAUUCCCAGUGUAGCGGUGAAAUGCGUAGAUAUUGGGAAGAACACCUGAGGCGAAGGCGGGUUGCUGGGCCGACACUGACGCUGAGGCGCGAAAGCCAGGGGAGCAAACGGG